AUUCCUACGGGAGGCAGCAGUAGGGAAUAUUGGUCAAUGGGCGGAAGCCUGAACCAGCCAUGCCGCGUGCAGGAUGACGGCCUUCUGGGUUGUAAACUGCUUUUAUACAGGAAGAAAAGGGUCAUGCGUGAUCGAUUGACGGUACUGUGUGAAUAAGCACCGGCUAACUCCGUACCAGCAGCCGCGGUAAUACGGAGGGUGCAAGCGUUGUCCGGAUUUAUUGGGUUUAAAGGGUGCGUAGGCGGGUUAUUAAGUCAGUGGUGAAAGUCUGCGGCUCAACCGCAGGAGUGCCAUUGAUACUGGUAGUCUUGAGUACAGUAGAGGUAGGCGGAAUUUAUGGUGUAGCGGUGAAAUGCAUAGAUACCAUAAAGAACACCGAUAGCGAAGGCAGCUUACUAUACUGUAACUGACGCUGAGGCACGAAAGCGUGGGGAUCGAACAGGAUUAGAUACCCUGGUAGUCCACGCUGUAAACGAUGAAGACUCGCUGUUGGCGAUAUACAGCCAGUGGCCAAGCGAAAGCGUUAAGUCUUCCACCUGGGGAGUACGACCGCAAGGUUGAAACUCAAAGGAAUUGACGGAAU
rnacentral:rRNA from 1 species